AACGAACGCUGGCGGCAUGCCUAACACAUGCAAGUCGAACGAAGCCCAUGACUUCGGUCAUGAGCUUAGUGGCGGACGGGUGAGUAACACGUGGGAACCUGCCCUGGAGUGGGGAACAACCGCUGGAAACGGCGGCUAAUACCGCAUACGCCCCAUGGGGAAAGGCUCGCGAAGAGCCGCUCUGGGAGGGCCCGCGCCCGAUUAGCUAGUUGGUGGGGUAAUGGCCUACCAAGGCUGCGAUCGGUAGCUGGUCUGAGAGG
rnacentral:rRNA from 1 species